AUUGAACGCUGGCGGCAGGCUUAACACAUGCAAGUCGAGCGGGGUGAUGGUGCUUGCACUAUCACUUAGCGGCGGACGGGUGAGUAAUGCUUAGGAAUCUGCCUAUUAGUGGGGGACAACAUCUCGAAAGGGAUGCUAAUACCGCAUACGUCCUACGAGAGAAAGCAGGGGAUCACUUGUGACCUUGCGCUAAUAGAUGAGCCUAAGUCGGAUUAGAUAGUUGGUGGGGUAAAGGCCUACCAAGGCGACGAUCUGUAGCGGGUCUGAGAGGAUGAUCCGCCACACUGGGACUGAGACACGGCCCAGACUCCUACGGGAGGCAGCAGUGGGGAAUAUUGGACAAUGGGGGGAACCCUGAUCCAGCCAUGCCGCGUGUGUGAAGAAGGCCUUAUGGUUGUAAAGCACUUUAAGCGAGGAGGAGGCUCUUUUGGUUAAUACCCAAGAUGAGUGGACGUUACUCGCAGAAUAAGCACCGGCUAACUCUGUGCCAGCCGCCGCAGUAA
rnacentral:rRNA from 1 species